CCCUAUACGUAUUUAGCUGCAACAACAUUGGCAUUUCCCAAGUUUCACAGUCCAUUGGUUAGAUGACCACCACCACCAGUGGCGGCCAGCCGCCACGACCAUCGGCCGAACCCCAGCUGAUCCCAGACCUCCCAGAUGACGUGUCCAUCAACUGCCUAUCAAGAAUCCCCAGAUACUAUUACCCUAAGCUCUCUCUUGUCUCAAGAUCAUGGCGCUCCGCCAUAACCUCCUCUGCACUCUUCACCACCCGGUCCCUCCUCCAUACCACCCAAACCUCUCUCUACCUCAACCUCCGUAUCAACUACUCCUUCCACUGGUACACUCUCCUCUCUAAUUGCCAUAGCAGAAAAAUCCCACAAAAACCCAUUUUUCCCCUUCCCCGCAUCCCGUUCCAGCCCGUAGGACCUGCGUUCGCCGUCCUAGGCCCGAAAAUAUACGUAAUUGGGGGGUCUAUUAACGAAAUUCCGUUAAAUUUGAUGUGGGUUUAUGAUUGUAGGUUUAAUAGGUGGGAGGAAGGCCCAAGAAUGAAGGUGGGACGGGAGUUCGCUGCGGCCGGGGUUGUUGAUGGCAAGAUUUAUGUUCUAGGUGGUUGUGUUGUGGAUAGCUGGGCACGGUCUGUGAACUGGGCCGAGGUUUUUGACCCGGAUACUGGGUUGUGGGCCCCGGUGCCGAGCCCUAUUGAGGUGAGGGAGAAGUGGAUGCACGCGAGCGCGGUGGUGGAGGGGAGAGUUUAUGCAAUGGCGGAUAGAGGUGGGGUGGUGUAUGAUGUUGGGCUGGGGAAGUGGGGAAACGUGUCAAAAAGGCUUGAUUUGGGGUGGAGGGGGCGGGCUGCGGUGGUUCGGGGAGUGUUGUAUUGUUAUGAUUAUUUAGGGAAGAUCAGAGGGUACGAUGUGGAGGAAGAUGUUUGGAAGGAGUUGAGGGGUGUAGGGAAAGGGUUGCCUAGGUUUUUAUGUGGUGCGACGAUGGUGAAUUUCGAUGGAAGGUUGUGUGUAGUUUGGGAGGGGAAGGGGAGUGGGAAGGAGGUGGAGAUAAUGUGUGCGGAUAUUGAAGUUUGGAAGGAUGGGGAUGGAAUGUUGAGCGGAAGGAUUUUGUGGUCUGACGUGAUUCUCAAAGUUCCUAAUGGAGCUGCGAUUGUGCAUUGUAUGGCAGCUGAGUUCUGAUGGUGAUGUUUGGUGCAGGGUAUGGCAAUUGUUCUUUGGUGGAUAUGUUGUUUAUAAUAUUCAGGAUUCUCACUGCAAUCGAUUUUUCCAACUACUCCAGUUGAGAAGCAGGUGAUAAAUUGCUUCUUAGCAGAAUGAUACUACUGGUAGUUUCUUCUAGCUCAGAUUGUGUGACGAAGCAACAUUGGGGUAGCCAUCCAGCUGCUUCAGAUUCUCGAAAGUGCCGAGGUGUAAUGCGUAGUCCCCGAGUCACCACCAUCUGAGGUACAUUGGCAGAUAAUUUACUGGCCAAGUUUGCUACAGCCCAUCUGGAAAGUAAUCUGUAUUUAUAUUCGGCUGCAUUCCCGACACUGUCUAGAUUCUGUAAUGUUAUUAUGUGUAUAUACCAUAUAGGGUUCAUCUGCAGCUGGCAAUGUAAGUUGGACCAGUCCUGCUUCUUGUAUGUACCUUUCUUUUCCCUUCUGAUUUGAAAUUAAUUUACUGUGCUCGCAUAGACCGGUUGGAUAUCAGAUAAAGUUCAGUUCAUGUGUUUUAUUCGUGCAUGGUACUAUAAA